rnacentral:tRNA from 1 species
GCGCGAUUAGCUCAGAGGCAGAGCGGCGCCCUUACAAGGCGAAGGUCGAGAUUUCAAAAUUCUCAUUGCGCACCA